ensembl:lncRNA
CUGAGGUGAUGGGCUUGGGUGCAGUGGGGAGGAAUGUGGUGAGGCUGUUCCAACUGCUGCUGUUUCAUCCCAUCGCUUGCUACCCCACAGAAUAUAUUUUGCUGAGGAAAUCUGGCUGGAGGCCUUGGUGACUGCUUUUCAGAGCUUUUGUUGUACCAGAGUAAGGAGGAAAAGGGAUGGAUGUGGAAGCAAAUAUGCAGAAAGCAAAUGGACUGGAGGCUAUGCUGGGAAUACCUGGCCUCUCUUCUUAGCGAGGAUACAGAAACACUUUGGAUUUCCUGAGAUGGAACUUCUGGGUGAUUGGUCCUGGUGUUUUCAGAACUGUCUACUGCAUCCUGAACAUUUUCCAUGCAUCACUGACUGGGAACAUUUUAAGUUGGCGUCAAAGAUAGAGUCUGUGGGGAAGUCUGCACACAAAUAAUACUUCUUCAUUGUUCUUGCUCAGAAGUGUUCAUGCUUUUUGCAAGCUGUUUCACCCACUGUGGCAGAAGAGUAAACUAUAAAUAAUCAAUCAGUUUUUUUCCUUAGCAAGACAUAUUCUCAUUUUCAGAGCCAAUGUACCACUGGAUGACAGAAAGAGAAAGUGCUCAACUCCAUUAGCAUCAGCCAUCCAGUGGGGCCUGACUUGGCAGGCAUGUGAUAACAGCCAUGUAAGGAAGCACAGGAGAGGCCACACAGGAAGAUUAUAUAAAUGAGAACCACAGUUGUAGACAGAUAAUGAAAUACAAUGAGAUGGGCUGGAGUACACUGGGUGUCCUUUGGCAUAAGGAAACAAUCUAUUUUUUAUAAGCUUUUAUUCAAGAAAAAUGUCUUACAUUCACAUAUAUAGACCACAAUUUCCGAGAGUGGCAUAAAACAUAACUCCAAAUCUUGAAGUAGUCUCCUAAGCAGAGAUACUUAUGAAGCAAGAGUUACCUCUGAAAGUGCAGUGACAGUUCCCUGGAAUCAAGCCUUUGGCACCCUAUUUUAUUGUAUUUAGCUCUGAAGUUGGAGGGGAAGGUGAACAAUAGGGUAGUGAACACAGUGUUUGAGCUUGCAGAUUUGGUCAGGGUCAAUAAAAUUGUGUAGAGUGCCCUCACAGGCCAGAAGACAAAAAAAAAAAAAAAAAAAAAAAAAAAAAAAAAAAAAAAAGUGUGAUGUGUCACUGAACAGCUUCUGGAAGCUGCACUAGCAAGGACAUUGUGAGAUCCCUAGACCUAUUUCCACCCUAUCAAACUGGAUCUGGAGAUAUCACAACUAUUGUGGGAACUAUCCUGACUAUUCACGCAUGGUCUGCUGUAAGGUAUUUGCCAGCAGCUCUGGGCAUGGCCCGAGGCUACAAGAAACAAGAUGAGAAGCAAAAUGGUAAUUUCUGUCAAUUAAUUUCUCCUUCUGCUUUUGGUCUAGAUAAGAAAUGGUGGGAAAAGAAAGGGUAAAGUAAGGUAACAGGGAAAGAUAGAGUAUUUGAGUAGAGGGAUUCUUGACCUUUCCUAUACAGAAACCAAAAGGAAGCCAAUCAUCUAGAACUAGUUCAUAAGAGCAAAUUUGCUGCUGAAGAAAAGAUAAGGAAAGAGACUAAGAGCCCAGAUGGAACAGGAUGUUUUAAUGAAAAACUCUCUAAGAAGUUGUUCUGUUGGGAAAACUUGAUUGCCAUGUUCUGGAGGCUUUAUCUCUCACUUGGUGCUCUCAAAGGUGUUACCUCUUGGGCCACAAAAAGGGAAAUUUUACCUAUUAGUCAUGUAGGAACUCUGAGGUGUCCAAAAAAAGAUAUUCACACAGCUAACUGGUUUUGCAGAGGAAAAUAAUUUAGGUUCCCCCAAAAAGCUCAUUGUGGAUGUUUUAACGGAGAAGGAAAAUCUACCUGAAACUUUCAGGCGUUCAAGAAAAAGCCAGGGAUUUUCAGCAGUUUUACACCUGGAUCCUGGAGGAGCACCUACAGCUGGAUCAUGGAGAGACAUCUAAGAUGAAGCCAAUAGAAGUGGAAAAAAUUCUCCCUAUUCCAGUAAAUAGGCAUACAAUUCUAAGUUAGGCUUCAUAUGUUUUGAAAACAGCUCCUCUAUGGAUGAAAAGGAGUUUCUAUAUUGAGUGUCCUGUAAGUCCUCUAUCCAUUUAUUUUGUAAAAUGUCUCUACCACCUGUAUUUGGACACUCCAUAAACAAGGUACUUCUGCUUGUGCACACAUUUGAAUUCUGAGUUGGAAAUCCUGUUUACCAAGUUACCACUUGCCUGGGUAAAGAGUUUCUUUGCUAGCUUUUUACUCCUGGGACACAUGGAGCUUUGAGUAAAAAAAAUAAUUUGCAACACAUAAUUUAUUUGGCAAAGUUAGCCUUUUGCUCUUUUUUCCAUGAGUGUAGCAGCAGCAUGGUUUCUUGAAUGUACUCAUUAUUCAAAUAUAUUAUCUGAAUAAACAGCCAAACACUCUGUACUGUCAGAUUUUGCCAUGACAUGUUGACUGGUGAUGCAUCUCUCUUGGGCUUGGCUGAUCACUCUGAGGUUGAGAACAUUUAUGCAGAGAAAAUAUCCUACUGUGGUUUGUAAUUUGCCUCUGAGCCCCUCUUCCCUCAUUCUGAAAGGCAGAUCUGUGUGAUUAUAAGGGCUAAAAUUAGAUGUGCAUGAUGGGAUGGAGCAUCAAAGAAAAGCCUACUAUUCUGCAGUUCUGUAGUGUAUGAUAGGACAGGCAGUCUCAUAUUAGGGGUGUUCCUUUCUAUUUCAUUAUUCAGAAGGAAUUUCUGAAGAGAUCUGAAGCAGAGUGAGGAAAAGCAACUGAGUUUUGUCUAUUGCAGAGCCUGACUAACUUGCUGGGGCAGUCAUGUUGUCUACCUAGACAAGACUUCCUUGUCUGUCUGCAUCUUGAGUCAAGCCACUGUGGCAGCGAUCCAGGUGGGAAGAAUCAGCUGCUGAUCUCUGAGCAGUGCAAGCAGGGAUGGGAAGGCUGGGGAGCGUGGGAG